rnacentral:tRNA from 2 species
GCCGAGAUGGUGGAAUAUGGUAGACACGCUGCCUUGAGGGGGCAGUGGGCGAAAGCCUGUGGGGGUUCGAGUCCCCCUCUCGGCA